GGAAAACGGCCGGGGAGGAGCAGCGGGGAUAAGGAGGGGGGCGGGGUUGUGCGGGAUGGCGGGGCGGAAGGCGCGCGCAGGCGGCCAUUCGAGGCGGGUGUGAAAUCCCAGAGCGCAACUCUGGAAUUGCCUGCGAGACUUGCUGGCUUCGAGGACGGGAGAGGUGAGGGGAAUUCCCAGUGUAGAGGUGAAAUUCGUAGAGAUUGGGAAGAACACCGGUGGCGAAGGCGACUCACUGGCCCGUUACUGACGCUCAGGCGCGACAGCGUGGGGAUCAAACAGGAUUAGAUACCGGUAGUC
rnacentral:rRNA from 1 species